CCCUCUCGCAGUGAAACAGGACACCACCUCUCCCAGUGGCCUAAGGCCUUGGCGAUUGAACUCUGCGGCAGCGCUCCUUCUGAGGAGGAAAAGUCCAGGCGUGCACGAGCAUACCAAGGAGAGCUUGAAGCAUGGGGCUUGUUGGUCAGGAGAGAAAAGGAGAAGGUGGCUGUGAGGGAAGAAGAUGCUGGCCAAGCGCUCCCACCACGCUCCUGAGGCUGGGAGCAAAGGCACACACGCAACCCAGGAUGUCAGUGCAUCCACAGCUGCCCUGCGAGGACAGCAGCUGCAUGGCCGGAAGGGCCCGGCAGAAUGGCACCCACAAAGAAGGGCGGCAAGAUGAAGAAGUGCUGUUCUGCCAUCGACCAGGUAAUGACCCGAGAAUACACCACUGACAUUCAGAGGCACAUUCAUGGAGUAAGCUUCAAGAAGCGUGCCCGUCGGGCACUCAAAGAGAUCUGGAAAUUUGCCAUGAAGGAGAUGGGAACUCCAGAUGUGUGCAUUGAUACCAGGUUCAACAAAUCUGUCUGGGCCAAAGGAAUAAGGAAUGUUCUAAACUGUAUCCAUGUGUGGUUGUCCAGAAAACAUAACGAGGAUGAAGUUUCACCAAACAAGCUCUAUACAUUGGCUAUCUAUGUACCUGUCACCACUUUCAAAAAUCUACAGGCAGUUAAUGUGGAUGAGAACUAAUCACUGAUUGUCAAAUACAGGUAUAAAACUGCCAAAAACAAACAAGCAAACAAACAAACAAACAACAACAAAAAAGACCAAGGAAAGGUGGAAAUUAUAGGGGAAGAAUCCAGAGAAUAAUAAUUAAAAGAUGAGGAAGUCAAGAGGUUCUGAUGAAAAGGACAAAAUAAAAUAUAUUUCAAGUACAUUAUUCCAGGAAAAAAAGAAGGUUGUAAGCCAUGCUUCCUUCUUCCAUUCACUCUGAGCUCAGUCCCACAUGCCUCUGCAUGGGCCCCCCGCCAAGGGCCCCAUACUACCCAGAGAAGCACACCCACACCUAGCAACUAUCAUUUGACUAUGGAGCUUUCCAGGGCCCAAGGGCCCCUUACAAAGUUGAGAGAGAAAGUUGCUACCUAGAAAUGGGGCCAAACUUAGGGACAAUUCAUUUCCUAUACUUACCAAAUUCAGUAACUGAUUUCCAUUAUUA